ACAAGAGACAGUAAAGUCCCGCCCACCCAGAGCACACUUGGAUGAUCUGUCUGGAAGCACAUGGAGAUGUAUGAUACAGCUGGUGUGGAACUGAAAGCUGCUGAAGAAGCCUCCUGGAGUUUCACUGCAGUACAAGUAGAUCAGAAUUUACAAGAAAUUCGGUUUGUGUGUGUGUGUGUGUGUGUGUGUGUGUGUGUGUGUGUGUGUGUGUGUGUUUUAUAUUUUCAUAAUUUGCAAGCUAUUUAAAUCUACAGUUUUGUUAGCUUCAUACAAUCAUUGACAGUUUAUUAUGUUAUAUAAAGUCUGAAUAAUGUUUCUGUGUAUUAGCCCCUUUAUAUUAAUGCUUGUUUUUUUGCUGUAAUGUUAUUUCACAUAUCAGCUUGUUUUUUAAUGCUAAUCCUUGUGUUAGCUUGUUUAAUGUAGAAAAAAGGAAUAUUCUACAUUACUUACAGCACCGCUAGUUAAUCAUUAUCCUGUUUAAUGCUAAAUAACAUUAACCCAUUUUCUCUUUAUUACCCAUUGAUUUCCACGGUUCCCUUGGCAUGUUGCUAACAUGUGACGGUUUUAUGGACCUAGCAGUAAAAACGUGAAAACACAGACAUAUAAUCAUAACUAUAACACACUGAGAGGGAGUUAGCAUUCAGCGUAUGCUGGCAGCUCAUUUACUUUCGGCUCAGACAGGAAAUCGGCACUGACUUGAACUUAAUGAGACACUUUUAUGGGUCUCUGGCAUUAAAAAGAAACCAGUUUGGCGUCAUUUUAGACUCAUAAGCUAAUCAGGUGCUACGGCUGAGGACAUGCUGAAGAAAAAUAAUCACUUUCCCACCUGAGAGAAAGAGACAGAAAGAGAUGGAGAAAUAAAAGACAGCCCUGUUACACAGCCUGUCAUCACAGAGACGUCCACAUUCCCAUCCGGCUGAAUCAGAGCGAGGCUUUUAUAGCGUCUCCUUUCAUUGGCUUUCACUUGUUCACUGUGACUGGAAUGUUUUACUGGGAUUUAAAACGCAGUGUGGGAUUUCACUACAAUUCUCCAAUUUAGAUAUAAAUUCAUCUAACAGAGAGACUGCUGAGGGAACAGGAUUAUGGGAUUGCCAUCUCCAAUGAUGACGGGUGACCAGCGACCUCAGGAGACGAAAGAAAGAAAGACAGAAAGCAACCGAGAAAGAAAGAAAUGAAGAAAGGAAAAAGCUAAAGAUGACAAUAUAAAUUAUAAGGUACUGAAGCUGCUCAUGAUAACAAAUUUAAGUUCAAUCUGAGCACAGUAUGAAAAAAAAAGAAAAUAAUUUCAACAGAUGCUAAUGCUAGAGGUUCAGACUGCAGAAAAUUCUGUAGAGUAAACAGAGCUGUAGCGUUUGUUCCACUGUCACAGAACCAGCACUGAGAAGAACCCAGAGUAAGAAUCCAUCAACCAGCCAUAGUUAGGAUGAAGCAGCUGAUUUGGCUUGGGUUUUAGACAUACUAGGCUUCAUAUUCUCGGGUGGUUCUGAUGUUUAGGGUUAAGUUGUUCAUUGGUUCAGACUCUCAGGGAUUCAAAUGUUCAGGGGUUCAGACUCUCAGGGAUUCAGAUGUUCAGGGGUUCAGACUCUCAGGGGUUCAGAUGUUCAGGGGUUCAGAUGUUCAGGGGUUCAGACUCUCAGGGGUUCAGAUGUUCAGAGGUUCAGACUCUCAUGGAUUCAGUUGUUCAGGGGUUCAGACUCUCAGGGUUUCAAAUGCUCAAGGAUUCAGACUCUCAGGGGUUCAGAUGUUCAGACUCUCAGAGAUUCAGAUGUUCAGGGGUUCAGACUCUCAGGGGUUCAAAUGCUCAAGGAUUCAGACUAUCAGGGGUUCAGAUUUUCGGGGUUCAGACUCUCAGGGAUUCAGAUGUUCAGGGGUUCAGACUCUCAGGGGUUCAGAUGUUCAGGGGUUCAGACUCAAAUUUUUGAGACUUUCUGAGCUUCAGACUCUCAGCUACUAAUUAAAAUUCCAGCACUUGGGCAAGUUCCCUUUUCCUCAAAAUCUCCACUAAGCUGGAAGUCUACUUGGAUAAAAUCAUUUGCCGGAUAAAUAAAUGAAAGUGGAAUGUAGUCACUGAAUGAAGACUGAUUAGGAAUUUGACUUGGAGUGAACUUACUGGAAAAUAAAAUACACUGGAGUUCGGUACAGUAGAGAAAAAUAUAAAUAGAUUUUAUGACUCUUUUUUGGACUCAGUUCUUGGAGGAGUUUCUCUCAUUUCUGGUUUUCUCUUCAGUGACAGUGACAGCAGUUUAGCAUCACAUCUCUAACUCCACUAAAAGAAUCGAGAUUUCUACACUAGUAUUUCUGAACUGGAGGAUGUAGAACGUGUGAGUUAUUAUGUGGAUUAUUAUCGUACACAUGCUAAAACAUUAGCCACUAAACACUGUUUGUUUGUUUGUUUGUUUGUUUGUGACAUUAAUGGUAAUUGUACAGGAAUAUUUUCAAGCGUUAGUAAAAGAAAAUGUUCUGGAAAAUUGUCCUGUUUAUUUAGUCCAUUGAUGUAAAUGACCAGCAAGCUGUCUAUGGCUCACUAAACUAAACUAAACUAAACUAAAAUAAAAUAAAAUAAAAUAAAAUAAAAUAAAAUAAAAUCACCUAAUAACAAAGAAACAGCUAAUAAAAGAAUAUCCACCUGAAACAAAGCCACUGUCAUCAACACUUCCUCUCAUUCUUUGGGAUUUAAGGGUCAGUCUGUAAUUUAUUCUUCAUAAAUUAUACAAAAUACUUGGCGUUUAAAAAUAAAAGACUUGUCUGUAUCCCACACCCGGCUAUUCAUCAUACAGCUUUUCCUUUUAUCAGACAAUGGGAUAGUUUUCAUUCUAUCACACAAUGGGGUAUUUAUAAACCUGCGACUGCUUCAGGAUUUCACUGAAGUGAAGAGAAUUAAACAGGAAGUGGUGAUGGCUCGCUCAAUUUCCUGUCAUGCGUCUCAGGGAAAUCUCUCUUUAAACUGUAAAUCUCUCUUAAAAUGUAAAUAUUAAGAGUGUGAUUUCUAGUAGUAACCAUAUUUUUAAUGUCAGGAAUUACAUUUUACACUAGUAAAAACGUAAUUGCUGAUAUCUGCUAUUGCAUAUUCACUAGUUGAAUAUUGCAAGAGCCAAGUCAUUUUAUAAAUAGUAUUUUAUAUUUGAAAAUGGAUAAAGAGGAAUCUGAGGGAGACAGUUUAAGUGGGGCCUAAUGAAGCUUAUAAAAUUAAUAAUAGUAGUUAUCUAAAACUUACAGGUGCUAUGCUGAAAUUUGUUAGUAGAGGAGAUGCUGUCAAGUGUGAAUGUGUGGCAAAUGGUUUACAUGGCUCACAGGUCAGGUAGGAGGGCCCCUUAGCAGAAUUUUGCUUAGGGCCCCAGGGAGGUCAGGAUCGGCUCUGAUUGUUUUAUCCUGAGGACCGAGGACUGAGGUCCCAGUAAUCUGAGAGCCACCCUCUGAGACCCUCUCCAGCCCAGACACCCUGCCCCAGAUCUCCACACCAUACUGAGGAGGCCUUCUAAUCCCCUGACUCUGAGCUUCAUCAUCUCCAGCUACAUCUCAUGCACUAUGAAGUUUUCUACCUGCCCCAGUCACCUCAGCCACAGUGAGUUCUGGCUCUGUCUCUUAAACAGAUAUCAUAUUCAUAGGAUUAAAGAGGAUCUCAGAGUCAUCUGUUCAAGUGGUUCACCGUAUCCCCAGUAGAACACAUUCUCAUCUACCUCUCUUCAUCAAGCCAAAAACUCUCUCCAAGGCCUCCCAGACCUGAGCUAUCACUUCUAGCUCUCAGAUCCAGUCCCUGCAGGAUUUGUCUGAGUUUGUUGCCAAAUGUUUGAUUUUUCUGCAGCUUUUUUUUUCUUUAAUUUGUGAUGUAAAUUGUGGAGUGUUUGUGGCUUUUUGGUGUAAUCACAAGCACAGGAUUCUUCAUUCAAACUCCUAGCCAUUACGACACAACCGUAAUGACUUUCUGUAAGAGCUGUUCUCAGGUUCAACACAUACACAGAACACAGUUUUGGCUGAACAUGUGUUGUGUAUCAGCCCAAAUCUGCAGAAUCACUGUGUUAUUUUGAAAAGUUUUGUAGGUCCCUGGAUAUCACAGUGUUCCCUUCAUUCAUUCAUUUCUGUAAUUGCAAAACUGGAGGAACUGAUUAAACGUCUCAGCUGACCUGGUGGAGCUCUUUGGGACCCUGGAAGUCCUCCUUCUCGCCACAGCCACAGGAGGACUUCAAUUCGAUUCUUCUGCCAGAAAACCUGGAAGAUAAACACUUCAGUCAGUGAGCGGCAACACUCGCUUAUCAUCAUCUCCAUCACAGUGAGAGCACAUCAUCAUCAUCAUCAUCUGUUUCCUUCUAUACAACGCAGACCUGUCAGGAAACCUCACGUGCCAGAAUGAAGUCAUCUUUAUAUUCAACUGAAGAACCUGAGAACAAUGAGAAGAUUUAUUCCAGAAAAGUCUCCACAUUAACCUGGAGCAUUAAAUACAACCAAACAAAAUUAAGUUUAUUCAUUAAUGAUGAAAAACAUUAUACUUAAUUACUUAAAUUAUUAAACAGUCUGAUUAUUAAAGUACA